rnacentral:rRNA from 1 species
AAGUCGUAACAAGGUUUCCGUAGGUGAACCUGCGGAAGGAUCAUUAAAGAAUCGCCCCGUUUUUUGAAAUGGGUUCUAUUCCCAAACCGUGUAUACAUACCUUUGUUGCUUUGGCAGGCCGCCUUUUAGGCGUCGGCUCCGGCUGACUGCGCCUGCCAGAGGACCCAAACUCUUUUGUUUAGUGAUGUCUGAGUACUAUAUAAUAGUUAAAACUUUCAACAACGGAUCUCUUGGUUCUGGCAUCGAUGAAGAACGCAGCGAAAUGCGAUAAGUAAUGUGAAUUGCAGAAUUCAGUGAAUCAUCGAAUCUUUGAACGCACAUUGCGCCCCUUGGUAUUCCGAGGGGCAUGCCUGUUCGAGCGUCAUUAUAACCACUCAAGCCUCGGCUUGGUCUUGGGGUUCGCGGUUUCGCGGCCCUUAAAAUCAGUGGCGGUGCCGUCUGGCUCUAAGCGUAGUAAUUCUCUCGCUAUAGGGUCCAGGUGACCACCUGCCAUAACCCCCCAUUCUUUACGGUUGACCUCGGAUCAGGUAGGGAUACCCGCUGAACUUAA